GCGCAGCAGGCGCGAAUACUUUACAAUGUGCGAAAGCACGAUAAGGAACUCUGAGUGCCUCCUAAGGAGGCUGUUCAGGUGUCUAAAAAGCACCUGAAGGAAGGGCUGGGUAAGACCGGUGCCAGCCGCCGCGGUAACACCGGGCAGCCCAAGGUGGUAGCCACGUUUAUUGGGUCUAAAGCGUCCGUAGCCGGCUGGGUAAGUUCCUUGGGAAAUUUGGCUGCUUAACAGUCAAGCUUUCAGGGAAUACUGCCCCGGC
rnacentral:rRNA from 1 species